UGAGGAGCCAAUGGGCACGGGCUCACCGAAAUUGGACCACAUAGGGGCUGGACGACAGCUUUCGCCCUGCUGCGGGUGCUCCGAUCUAAGCAAAAGUGAGUCCAACCCGGUACUAGCAAGGUGUACCUAAUAAAGUGACCGGGAUGCACUUGUACUGGUACAGCCCCUCGAAGUGGUUCGGGCAGUUUGAGGACACGUUCAGCAGGGCUGAGAUCCCCAUGGCAUCCAGCAUGUCUUUUCUGGAGGCGUGAUAGGCACUGCCAAGGAACAGGAAGGGAAGGAUCUCGACCGGACCCCCCUAAAGGAGACACAAACAUGGUAUGUAACCAGAGGGCUGCUGGGUAAAAUCCCAGGUGGGCGAGGGCUUCUGGCUUUUUGCUUUCACAGAGCACUCUGGAACAUUACAGGAUUAUGUUGAACUAAAUAGUCUGUUUUUAUUGAAAGUGAGACUUUCUUGAGA